GAUGGGACUGAAGGCUUUCGGAAGAUGCAGACUAUGCAGAAUUCGAUGAUUUCCUUUUUCAACCAAACGUUAGACCAUCUUUGACACAGAAGGAAAUUUCCAUCGAGUUUCAACCGAACAUCAACUACCAUUUCAAAAAGGAGAUUGGGCCUGGGAAGCUUCAAGAUCCAGCUCGGGGAUAUUGUUUUCGACAUUCUGCAUUGAGCGACAAUAUCAGUGUAGCUUGCAGGACUUUUCAGACCACAGUUCUUGCUGAUCUUAUUCAUACCUUAGCUGAGCGCUCCUUAAUUUCGGCAUCGUUUGCUGUUUCUCCAAUGGAAUCUGCUGUUGCUCGUCGAGCAUUAUCCUUCGGAUCGAAAACUGCCCAGGAUCACCGUGUCUAAUGCGAAAACAUCAACUGCAACUCGGCCAGGCGAGAAUACUUCUGAAAAGUUUCCAGAUACAAAUCAACAUUGUCGAUAAUCUGUGCUAUAUAGGAGGAGCUUUCAGGAUCUUCAGGACCGUGAUUCCUGCUGAUGUCGCCCCGGCUGCCGCGAGUUGCUGAGCUUGAACGGAGUUGUCUGCAUCUGCAUCCUUCAUUUCGAGGCCACUCACAGUUUCUUCGUUGGAAUCUACUGCGUUUUUUGUCGGGAAUUGUCCUUUGUAACUGCCGAAACUACCCUGG